rnacentral:rRNA from 1 species
UACGUAGGGUGCGAGCGUUAAUCGGAAUUACUGGGCGUAAAGCGUGCGCAGGCGGCGCGUUAAGACAGGUGUGAAAGCCCCGAGCUUAACUUGGGAAUUGCGCUUUGUGACUGGCGUGCUGGAGUGUGGCAGAGGGAGGUGGAAUUCCACGUGUAGCAGUGAAAUGCGUAGAGAUGUGGAGGAACACCGAUGGCGAAGGCAGCCUCCUGGGCCAGCACUGACGCUCAUGCACGAAAGCGUGGGGAGCAAACAGG